rnacentral:rRNA from 1 species
GAAUAUUGGACAAUGGGCGGAAGCCUGAUCCAGCCAUGCCGCGUGUGUGAAGAAGGCCUUGUGGUUGUAAAGCACUUUAAGCGAGGAGGAGGAGCUCUUGGUUAAUACCCAAGAUGCUUGGACGUUACUCGCAGACUGAGCACCGGCCAACCCCGGUCCAGCAGCCGCGGUAAUACCGAGGGGGCAAGCGUUAAUCGGAUUUACUGGGCGUAAAGCGCGCGUAGGUGGCCAAUUAAGUCAAAUGUGAAAUCCCCGAGCUUAGCUUGGGAAGUGCAUUCGAUACUGGUUGGCUAGAGUAUGGGAGAGGAUGGUAGAAUUCCAGGUGUAGCGGUGAAAUGCGUAGAGAUCUGGAGGAAUACCGAUGGCGAAGGCAGCCAUCUGGCCUAAUACUGACACUGAGGUGCGAAAGCAUGGGGAGCAAACA